GGAGUGCUCGAAAGAGAACCUGCACACAGGUGCUGCAUGGCUGUCGUCAGCUCAUGUCGUGAGAUGUUGGGUUAAGUCCCGCAACGAGCGCAACCCUUGCCAUUAGUUGCUACGAAAGGGCACUCUAAUGGGACUGCCGGUGACAAACCGGAGGAAGGUGGGGAUGACGUCAAGUCCUCAUGGCCCUUAUAGGUGGGGCUACACACGUCAUACAAUGGCCGGUACAGAGGGUAGCCAACCCGCGAGGGGGAGCCAAUCCCACAAAGCCGGUCGUAGUCCGGAUCGCAGUCUGCAACUCGACUGCGUGAAGUCGGAAUCGCUAGUAAUCGCGGAUCAGCAUGUCGCGGUGAAUACGUUCCCGGGUCUU
rnacentral:rRNA from 1 species